rnacentral:rRNA from 1 species
UGCAUAUCGGGGAAGCGGAGGAAAAGAAACCAACAGGGAUUGCCCCAGUAACGGCGAGUGAAGCGGCAAGAGCUCAAAUUUGAAAUCUGGCCUCCCCCGGGGGUCCGAGUUGUAAUUUGCAGAGGAUGCUUCGGGCGCGGCCCCCGUCUAAGUUCCUUGGAACAGGACGUCAGAGAGGGUGAGAAUCCCGUCUUGGGCGGGCGGCCCGCGCCCGUGUGAAGCUCCUUCGACGAGUCGAGUUGUUUGGGAAUGCAGCUCUAAGCGGGUGGUAAAUUUCAUCUAAAGCUAAAUACCGGCCGGAGACCGAUAGCGCACAAGUAGAGUGAUCGAAAGGUUAAAAGCACCUUGAAAAGGGAGUUAAACAGCACGUGAAAUUGUUGAAAGGGAAGCGCUUGCGGCCAGACUCGGGGGGCGGGGUUCAGCGGGCGCUCGUCGCCCGUGCACUGCCCGCUCCCCGGGCCAGCAUCAGCUUCGACGGCCGGUCAAAGGCCCCCGGAAUGUGUCGUCUCUAGGGACGUCUUAUAGCCGGGGGUGCAAUGCGGCCCGUCGAGACUGAGGAACGCGCUCCGGCUCGGAUGCAUAUCGAAUCG